rnacentral:rRNA from 1 species
AUGAUUGCUCUUAUCGGUAUGGCUCCUACCGAGGAGGAGGGAGAAGAGCAGAAGAAGAAGGAAAGUAAAGCAGCCGGAGCUGCUUUCACGUGGAUUCAAAGGAACUUUGCGUGCCCUGUGGAUGCCACUGAUGAUGUGAUACAGACACAUGCUCGUGUCUAUAUGUGGUACGUUGUCUCGAGGACUUUGUUUCCUGACUCCACAGGCAAGAACGCUCCAUGGAUGUGGCUGAAGGUGUUGACCGUCUUCGAUAGCGGAUGGAGCUGGGGUUCAGCCACUCUUGCUUACUUGUACCGAUAG